UAGAGAUAAAUACAGUAACCCCGGAGA
rnacentral:piRNA from 1 species